UUGAUGCCAGUUCUUGGAGAUUCCAUGCUGGUCCUGAAGUGCUGGCAGCCCUAUAUAUGUGGAAGGACCCCAGGGGGGCAGAGGCCAACGGGAGAUGAGGUGCAAUGUUUUUAUGUUAACCACCCAGAGAUGCAAGUUUGGGCAGUAUAGUAAGAUUUUGAACCUCUCAAGAAAACUCCCUUUGAACCAAUGGAUCGUCCAACAAUUAAGUAGUUUAAAGAGGUACUUGUUGUCACGAGUUCAUCCUCACUCCCUUGGCUGGGACCAGGGCCAAGAUGGGAGAGUGCAUGUUGAAGGAAUGACAGGAACUCCACUCCGACAGAAGAGGAAGUCAUAACCCGUGGCCUCAUCAGAUGGCCUGUGUUGCAUUUUCUCAUUAGCACUCACAGCAGGAGCCUGCUGUAUUCUAUCUGGCAAUCUUUUGUUUUGUUUAUUAGAAGU